rnacentral:rRNA from 1 species
GAUGAACGCUGGCGGCGUGCCUAAUACAUGCAAGUCGAGCGAACAGACGAGGAGCUUGCUCCUUUGACGUUAGCGGCGGACGGGUGAGUAACACGUAGGUAACCUACCUAUAAGACUGGGAUAACUUCGGGAAACCGGAGCUAAUACCGGAUAAUAUUUCGAACCGCAUGGUUCGAUAGUGAAAGAUGGCUUUGCUAUCACUUAUAGAUGGACCUACGCCGUAUUAGCUAGUUGGUAAGGUAACGGCUUACCAAGGCAACGAUACGUAGCCGACCUGAGAGGGUGAUCGGCCAAACUGGAACUGAGACACGGUCCAGACUCCUACGGGAGGCAGCAGUAGGGAAUCUUCCGCAAUGGGCGAAAGCCUGACGGAGCAACGCCGCGUGAGUGAUGAAGGUCUUCGGAUCGUAAAACUCUGUUAUUAGGGAAGAACAAACGUGUAAGUAACUGUGCACGUCGUGACGGUACCUAAUCAGAAAGCCACGGCUAACUACGUG